rnacentral:rRNA from 1 species
GACGAACGCUGGCGGCGUGCUUAACACAUGCAAGUCGAACGGAAAGGCCCUGCUUUUGUGGGGUGCUCGAGUGGCGAACGGGUGAGUAACACGUGAGUAACCUGCCCUUGACUCUGGGAUAACUUAAGGAAACUGGGGCUAAUACCGGAUAGGAGCUCCUGCUGCAUGGUGGGGGUUGGAAAGUUUCGGCGGUUGGGGAUGGACUCGCGGCUUAUCAGCUUGUUGGUGGGGUAGUGGCUUACCAAGGCUUUGACGGGUAGCCGGCCUGAGAGGGUGACCGGCCACAUUGGGACUGAGAUACGGCCCAGACUCCUACGGGAGGCAGCAGUGGGGAAUAGUGCACAAUGGGCGGAAGCCUGAUGCAGCAACGCCGCGUGCGGGAUGACGGCCUUCGGGUUGUAAACCGCUUUCGCCUGUGACGAAGCGUGAGUGACGGUAAUGGGUAAAGAAGCACCGGCUAACUACGUG